CCUACGGGAGGCAGCAGUGAGGAAUAUUGGUCAAUGGGCGGAAGCCUGAACCAGCCAAGUCGCGUGAGGGAUUAAGGCCCUGCGGGUCGUAAACCUCUUUUGCCGGGGAGCAGAGUUCCGGACGUGUCCGGGCCGGGAGAGUACCCGGAGAAAAAGCAUCGGCUAACUUCGUGCCAGCAGCCGCGGUAAUAAGGAGGACGCGAACGUAACCCGGAUUUAUUGGGUUUAAGGGGGGCGUAGGCGGGCUGUUAAGUCAGCGGUAAAAUGUCGGGGCUCAACCCCGUCCUGCGGUUGAAACUGGCGGCCUCGAGUGGGCGAGAAGUAUGCGGAAUGCGUGGUGUAGCGGUGAAAUGCAUAGAUAUCACGCAGAACUCCGAUUGCGAAGGCAGCAUACCGGCGCCCUACUGACGCUGAGGCACGAAGGCGUGGGUAUCGAACAGGAUUAGAUACCCUUGUAGUC
rnacentral:rRNA from 1 species